CAACCGAGAUUCCCCCAGUAGCGGCGAGCGAACGGGGAGGAGCCCAGAGCCUGAAUCAGUGUGUGUGUUAGUGGAAGCGUCUGGAAAGGCGCGCGAUACAGGGUGACAGCCCCGUACACAAAAAUGCACAUAUUGUGAGCUCGAUGAGUAGGGCGGGACACGUGGUAUCCUGUCUGAAUAUGGGGGGACCAUCCUCCAAGGCUAAAUACUCCUGACUGACCGAUAGUGAACCAGUACCGUGAGGGAAAGGCGAAAAGAACCCCGGCGAGGGGAGUGAAAAAGAACCUGAAACCGUGUACGUACAAGCAGUGGGAGCCUCUUUAUGGGGUGACUGCGUACCUUUUGUAUAAUGGGUCAGCGACUUAUAUUCUGUAGCAAGGUUAACCGAAUAGGGGAGCCGAAGGGAAACCGAGUCUUAACUGGGCGUUAAGUUGCAGGGUAUAGACCCGAAACCCGGUGAUCUAGCCAUGGGCAGGUUGAAGGUUGGGUAACACUAACUGGAGGACCGAACCGACUAAUGUUGAAAAAUUAGCGGAUGACUUGUGGCUGGGGGUGAAAGGCCAAUCAAACCGGGAGAUAGCUGGUUCUCCCCGAAAGCUAUUUAGGUAGCGCCUCGUGAAUUCAUCUCCGGGGGUAGAGCACUGUUUCGGCAAGGGGGUCAUCCCGACUUACCAACCCGAUGCAAACUGCGAAUACCGGAGAAUGUUAUCACGGGAGACACACGGCGGGUGCUAACGUCCGUCGUGAAGAGGGAAACAACCCAGACCGCCAGCUAAGGUCCCAAAGUCAUGGUUAAGUGGGAAACGAUGUGGGAAGGCCCAGACAGCCAGGAUGUUGGCUUAGAAGCAGCCAUCAUUUAAAGAAAGCGUAAUAGCUCACUGGUCGAGUCGGCCUGCGCGGAAGAUGUAACGGGGCUAAACCAUGCACCGAAGCUGCGGCAGCGACACUAUGUGUUGUUGGGUAGGGGAGCGUUCUGUAAGCCUGUGAAGGUGGCCUGUGAGGGUUGCUGGAGGUAUCAGAAGUGCGAAUGCUGACAUAAGUAACGAUAAAGCGGGUGAAAAGCCCGCUCGCCGGAAGACCAAGGGUUCCUGUCCAACGUUAAUCGGGGCAGGGUGAGUCGACCCCUAAGGCGAGGCCGAAAGGCGUAGUCGAUGGGAAACAGGUUAAUAUUCCUGUACUUGGUGUUACUGCGAAGGGGGGACGGAGAAGGCUAUGUUGGCCGGGCGACGGUUGUCCCGGUUUAAGCGUGUAGGCUGGUUUUCCAGGCAAAUCCGGAAAACCAAGGCUGAGGCGUGAUGACGAGGCACUACGGUGCUGAAGCGACAAAUGCCCUGCUUCCAGGAAAAGCCUCUAAGCAUCAGGUAACAUCAAAUCGUACCCCAAACCGACACAGGUGGUCAGGUAGAGAAUACCAAGGCGCUUGAGAGAACUCGGGUGAAGGAACUAGGCAAAAUGGUGCCGUAACUUCGGGAGAAGGCACGCUGAUAUGUAGGUGAAGCGACUUGCUCGUGGAGCUGAAAUCAGUCGAAGAUACCAGCUGGCUGCAACUGUUUAUUAAAAACACAGCACUGUGCAAACACGAAAGUGGACGUAUACGGUGUGACGCCUGCCCGGUGCCGGAAGGUUAAUUGAUGGGGUUAGCGGUAACGCGAAGCUCUUGAUCGAAGCCCCGGUAAACGGCGGCCGUAACUAUAACGGUCCUAAGGUAGCGAAAUUCCUUGUCGGGUAAGUUCCGACCUGCACGAAUGGCGUAAUGAUGGCCAGGCUGUCUCCACCCGAGACUCAGUGAAAUUGAACUCGCUGUGAAGAUGCAGUGUACCCGCGGCAAGACGGAAAGACCCCGUGAACCUUUACUAUAGCUUGACACUGAACAUUGAGCCUUGAUGUGUAGGAUAGGUGGGAGGCUUUGAAGUGUGGACGCCAGUCUGCAUGGAGCCGACCUUGAAAUACCACCCUUUAAUGUUUGAUGUUCUAACGUUGGCCCGUAAUCCGGGUUGCGGACAGUGUCUGGUGGGUAGUUUGACUGGGGCGGUCUCCUCCUAAAGAGUAACGGAGGAGCACGAAGGUUGGCUAAUCCUGGUCGGACAUCAGGAGGUUAGUGCAAUGGCAUAAGCCAGCUUGACUGCGAGCGUGACGGCGCGAGCAGGUGCGAAAGCAGGUCAUAGUGAUCCGGUGGUUCUGAAUGGAAGGGCCAUCGCUCAACGGAUAAAAGGUACUCCGGGGAUAACAGGCUGAUACCGCCCAAGAGUUCAUAUCGACGGCGGUGUUUGGCACCUCGAUGUCGGCUCAUCACAUCCUGGGGCUGAAGUAGGUCCCAAGGGUAUGGCUGUUCGCCAUUUAAAGUGGUACGCGAGCUGGGUUUAGAACGUCGUGAGACAGUUCGGUCCCUAUCUGCCGUGGGCGCUGGAGAACUGAGGGGGGCUGCUCCUAGUACGAGAGGACCGGAGUGGACGCAUCACUGGUGUUCGGGUUGUCAUGCCAAUGGCACUGCCCGGUAGCUAAAUGCGGAAGAGAUAAGUGCUGAAAGCAUCUAAGCACGAAACUUGCCCCGAGAUGAGUUCUCCCUGAGACUUAGAGUCUCCUGAAGGAACGUUGAAGACGACGACGUUGAUAGGCCGGGUGUGUAAGCGCAGCGAUGCGUUGAGCUAACCGGUACUAAUGAACCGUGAGGCUUAACCUU
rnacentral:rRNA from 1 species